rnacentral:rRNA from 1 species
UACGGAGGGUCCAAGCGUUAUCCGGAAUCAUUGGGUUUAAAGGGUCCGUAGGCGGUUUUGUAAGUCAGUGGUGAAAGCCCAUCGCUCAACGGUGGAACGGCCAUUGAUACUGCAAGACUUGAAUUAUUAGGAAGUAACUAGAAUAUGUAGUGUAGCGGUGAAAUGCUUAGAUACUACAUGGAAUACCAAUUGCGAAGGCAGGUUACUACUAAUAUAUUGACGCUGAUGGACGAAAGCGUGGGGAGCGAACAGG